rnacentral:snRNA from 1 species
AUACCUACCUGGCAGGGGAGAUACCAUGAUCACGAAGGUGGUUUUCCCAGGGCGAGGCUUAUCCAUUGCACUCUGGAUGUGCUGACCCCUGCAAUUUCCCCAAAUGUGGGAAACUCGGCUGCAUAAUUUGUGGUAGUGGGGGACUGCGUUUGUGCUUUA